rnacentral:tRNA from 1 species
UAGGAAAUAAUUUAACCUAAAAUAUAAUGUUGUCAACAUUAAAAUGCUCACAGAGCUUUUCUGA